rnacentral:rRNA from 1 species
UGGGGAAUAUUGCACAAUGGGCGCAAGCCUGAUGCAGCAACGCCGCGUGAGGGACGACGGCCUUCGGGUUGUAAACCUCUUUUAGUAGGGAAGAAGCGAAAGUGACGGUACCUGCAGAAAAAGCACCGGCUAACUACGUGCCAGCAGCCGCGGUAAUACGUAGGGUGCGAGCGUUGUCCGGAAUUAUUGGGCGCAAAGAGCUCGUAGGCGGUCUGUCGCGUCUGCUGUGAAAACCCGAGGCUCAACCUCGGGCCUGCAGUGGGUACGGGCAGACUAGAGUGCGGUAGGGGAGAAUGGAAUUCCUGGUGUAGCGGUGGAAUGCGCAGAUAUCAGGAGGAACACCGAUGGCGAAGGCAGUUCUCUGGGCCGUAACUGACGCUGAGGAGCGAAAGCGUGGGGAGCGAACAGGAUUAGAUACCCUGGUAGUCCACGCCGUAAACGUUGGGCGCUAGAUGUGGGGACCAUUCCACGGGUUUCCGUGUCGGCAGCUAACGCAUUAAGCGCCCCGCCUGGGGAGUACGGCCGCAAGGCUAAAACU